AUGGGUGGAGUUAUACAUCCAUUUAUUGCAACCAGCCAGAAAUUGUAGGAUCAAGACCUGUGGUGGGUUUAGUUUUGAAAGAUGUUAUGCUGUCCAUACUUUUCUAAAGUCAUUGGUACAGACUUAGGAGUGAACUUGAACCGUGUUUACACACAAAAUAAAAAAACAGGAAAAUUUGUUUUUCCGCUAUAUGAGCCCAAUAAAGCCUGGCUCUGCAUCUUAUUGAAGGAUUAGCGGCUCGUUUCGACCCGAGCAAAACCCGGGAUCAGUCAGUGUUCUGGCCUUUUCUCUCCUCCACCAAGAUAGCCGGUGGCGGCCGUGGCAUUCAGCUCGGCAUAUCUCAGGAUUCCAGAGUUUUAAAAACGUGAGGCAUUAUCCCGCAAAGCUCUGAAAAGCUCCAUCCACACGUCUGCUGACGUCGUUUCUGCUUACUCACACAGCGGAGCAGCGAUACACUGACUACAGGGACAACAGACUCCAGUUCUUCUCUUCAGGCCUCUAGAGCACAACCAGGGUCUCCUGCACCACCUUCAGCUGUCUCAGAAUCCCCCGAGAUGUGUGCACAAGCUGGCGUGGUCCUAUAUCGAGCAGGCUCGAGCUCUUUGUUCUAAUAUGUCACAGUAUUUCCUGGAAUGUCCUCACUGAACUCGGCUGCAUGUAGAGGGUGUGAUAUAUUCAGCUUGGGGGAACUGCAUCAGGAUGACGACAGGAUGGCGAUGAAGUGUUAAAGUGAUAGAAACCUUUCACCAGGUUCCUCCCUCGGGCCUAAAGUCAUCAAACCCAUCUCUGCACUGCCUUCCUAGGUGAACAUGGGCGCACUAAACUGAGUAGAGUAAUAGUUUACUAUCAAAUUUACAUACUUUGCCCUCAUACCCAUAUUCUUUUUUUUUUUUAAUUCUAUAAUAAAAAAAUGCUAUUACAGUUUUAC